GGUUCGAUUUAAGAUCUAUUGUUUGGAUGCUUAGAUAUGGCUUUUUGGAAUAGUGUUGGCAUUUUCUUGAACUUAGCUAGCUAUCUUUUGAUGGGUUUUUUUCUUUAUAAUUUCUAGUUGGAAUAAACUUAUUGCUUUGUUCAUUUGAAUGCUUAGAUCUGGAUUUAGGUACCUGGAAAUAGCUAUUAGCAAUCUUUAUGUAAUGAUUUAUUAUUCGUUUUGAACUUGCUUGCUCUUUUCAUGGGACCCGUUUUCGUUAAGCAGAAUAUCUACUGCUUUUAAGCACGAGUGAAAUCAUUGACUCAUGAUUUUGAUAUUCUGGUGCAUAGAUUUGGAUUUUGGCCCUUCAGAAAGAUUUUAGGAACCAUUACUUUUAGCAUCUUCAUGUGCAUGGCUGCUUACUGUGUGAUCGGUUCGUUCUUCUUUUUUUUUCAUGCUUGGCUCAAGGGAGUUGUUUGUAGGAUUUAUUAUUUAGAUUUAGAUCUUGCUGGAUCUCAGUUUACAAAGCAGUAUCCUGCUUGUUAACUUUUCCUGGGAUUAAAGCUCUAACAAUGAUUUUGGAUGAACUGGGAAAUUCAAUAUCGGAUCCUCUAAAAAAAUGAGUUUUACAUUUUGAGGUCAGAAAUCCAGUUAUCAUCCAUUCCGUUUGAUAUUAACACGUGGCUUGCUGAAACAUCACAAUUGCUUGAUCUGGUUAUAAUCCAUGCAAAUUGCUGACUGUGAGAUCGUUUUUUAUGCACACACAAUUAAGCAGGCUCCUGUAACUUGAUGUCUUUAGUGUGGUUGGUGUUGGAUUAUAUAGGACUACUCCUUUUGGUUGGAACCUCGUAACCGCUGAUUACAUCGAACAAACAGUGCAUGGGGUGGUUGUUAGUACUCUCGGACUUCUUUUCUUGGGGAAGUUGCUUGAGCCUGUAUGGGGUUCUAAGGAAUUCUUGAAGUUCAUCUUCAUAACUAACUUUCUAACGUCCGUUUGUGUUUUCGUUACCUCUAUUGCCUUGUACCAGGUAACCAUGCAGGAAAAGUGCCCUUACAUGCCUGUUUCUGGAUUCCAUGGGGUGCUGGCAGGCUUCUUGGUUAUCAUCAAGCAAAUCGUACCCGACCAAGAGUUUUAUCUCCUAAAAAUAAAAGUAAAGAGAAAGAGGGGCUAGAGCACUGGAGGAGAGAUUGGCAGCUGAGAUAUUAGCUGCCGGACGUAAUUCAGAAGAGCCGCACAUAGACGGAAACAACCGCGUUUGAUUGCUCCGAAGAGUCACAUCCAUCAAACUACAAAGGUUAUGCACAAGUAUGCCUAAUCACUCAAUAGGCACAACACUUUAAAAACUCUUACAAAUUAGUCUAUACCUCGAAAUAUUAUUUUGCAUUUACACACUUAAUGAUAGCUUUCAGUGCCCGAAUUAUCCAAUGUAUUAGCUCGAUUAAUAUGAGACUUUGUUUCAUGAAAAUUCAAUUUGAUUAAAUUUAAGAACGAAAUGAAUUUGACAUCUGAAAUUUUGGGUAUUGUUACAAUCUACAACUGGACAAUUAUUGCCU